UAAAAUUCUAGGUAGUAUAAUGAUUAUGACAUUUUCUAUCUAUAAGUCUUGACCAAAACUCGUGCCAGCAGUCGCGGUAAUACGUGGAAGACAAGUGUUAUUCAUCUUUAAUCGGUUUAAAGGGUACCUAGACGGUAUAUCUAGCCAAUAUAGAUUUACUAGAGUUUUAUCUAAGAAAGAACUUAAGGUGUAAAGAUGAAAUGUGUUAAUACCUUAAGGACUGUUAAAGGCGAAAGCAACCUGCUAUGUAUAAACUGACGUUGAGGGACGAAGGCCUGGGUAACGAAAAGGAUUCGGUACCCUUGUAGUCCAGGCAGAAAAUUAUGAAUGUCAUAAACUAGAAAAAAUUUAGUUUAUAAAUGAAAGUGCAAGCAUUCCACCUUAAGAGUAAUGCGGCAAGGCAGGAACUGAAAUCAUUAGACCGUUUCUGAAACCAGUAGUGAAGUAUGUUGUUUAAUUCGAUGAUCCACGAAAAACCUUACCACAAUUUGAAUACAAGUGCUGCACGGCUGUCUUCAGUUAAUGUCGUGAGAUUAAAUUAACGUAAACCCCUUCUUUAUUUAGUAAACGGGAUUAAGACAAGUCAUCAUGGCC
rnacentral:rRNA from 1 species